AUGCUAUUUGCCAAACGCAGCAAGAGACCAACCAUUAUGACCUCAUACUGAUCUUGCUCAUCUGAAGAGAGUGAAAGACCAGCCCUAAAGUUUGGUCACUGUGACUUCAUGCCAAAAUUGCCUGCCUGAAGGGAAAGGAACUGGUCAGUGUAGCAUCAUGCUAAUGUUUUCUGCCUCAGAGAGGGAGCCAGGAACGUCUGUUGUAAGGUUGGGCUUAUGCUACCUUUUGGAAGGGAAGGGGACUGAGCAUUAAUUAACUGACUGACCCACAUCCCUUUCCACAGCUGCUAUACAAUUGAAGGAAGGGGCAGCAUUACUUCUCGCACACAUGCGGCAGAACACUUUGAAGGCAGAAUUACCCUUUGUACUCCAACAGGAGAACUGCUGCUGAGGAAGAAACUUUAAGGUACCACUUGUGAGAACUGAAGAUGAUGACGGCUUAUGGAAGAGGAUGCAUAGAAUCCACAACAAAAGACUGUAUCCAAGGAAGAAAGAGAUUUAUUCGAGAAUGACAUAUUUGGGGAGAGAGGAACAAUAUCUGGUUAUGUGCCUGAGAAGAUAGUCAUAGGAGGGACUAAAGUCAAAGCGGACAGAAUAACUCCAUGGAGAAGAAAGCAAAUGAAUAGUCAAGACAUAAUAGGAGAGAAACCAGAUGUGUUGAAGCGGAUGACAAAGGUCUCCAACCCCACCUCCACCAUUUAACACCAUUCUACUGGAGUGCCAACCAGGACAGAAAAGGCCACAUGGCCUGUAUCACUGGUGCAGCUUUGUA